CAAGAGUUGAGGAGUCCGAGAGGAGAGAGCUGCUGCUGUGGAGCUGACCGCUGUGGGACAGCAGGAGAACCAACUUGGGCUGAGGAUGAACACGCUCGUCAUCUUCGGAGUGACGAGGCGGUUCUUGAGCCUCCCUUGCCGCUAAGAUGUGUUGAUGAGUGGCCACGCCACAGACCGCUCCGACCUCCUCACCACGACGUGGACAACUACGACCGUCAUCCCACUGCGGCUGUCGGCCGCUACCGCUCUGCAGGAGACGGGCAGUUCAACCUCGGUCCGCUCGGC